UUCGCAACACCUACGGCUUCCACUAGAUGUCAACGAUCUUUAUAAAGUUGUUUGAAGCGUCUAUGAUAAACAGAGAGCAAAUUAGAAUCCAAGGAAGUUGACAUGUCAUCACUUCAUUUUUUUGCGCCUGCUCAUCAAUCUGAAAAACGUGAGUUUGUCAUCAUUUUUUAUCUAGACAUAGGAUAGGUUGUGUGAAAAUAUUACUGAUGUUUAACGUUAAAAAUGGACCAAAAGAUUAAUGCUAAACAACAUUUGACAUUUUUGAACGAACAUAAAUAGAUUAUUUACUAGGUUUUUUUAGCUUUUCGGCGUGAUUUUACCAGCCCCCCACCACGUUUUGUGGGAGCAUAAUGAACGCUAAGUACUUGGUGUUAUUUGGACAUAAAUUAUGAACUUUGUCAAAAGAAACCACAUUUGUUCCGGACCUGGAAUGCCUUCCGGACCUGGGAUCCUGCCUUCUGAUGGAGAUAAUCAAAGGGCUCUUUAUACUGUGCUCCUGUUUGGUGGCUUUACCAGCAACAUCCGAGAGGACUAUUACUAAGGUACAGCUGCUGACUGGGAGAAGGGAAGACACCAUAAAUGUACCUCAUACGGUAUGUAUAGCUGUGUUGUUGGGAUGUGCCCAUUCACCAGGCUACAUACAUGAAGGCUAUUCACAGCCACGUCAGCCGUGAUACAAGUCAGUAUUCAACGAACCAUCCGUGCCUGAGGACGUCGGGAGAUGACGCGAGGAUACCUGCCACUAGGGGCAACAGUGAGCGGUUUUGCUAGGGUGUUGUGGACGGGGACGGCGGAUUGGCGUAAGCGCCUGUCUCUGAUUCCAAAAGUUGUAAGUUCAGUUGUUUUUGAGAUUUUUGUUUUUAAGCCUAUCCCAAAUCUUAACCCUUGUCUUAACCAUUCUGAGUUAAUGUCUAACCUUCCGAUUUCGGGGUUAAUGCCUAAACGUAGCCUGAAACACUUUGAAAUUUGAUGUUUGAGACACAUGGAUGAACAUCUAGUUCUGACGUGAGAAUGUGAGAGCUGGUUGGCUAUUCACUAGGUUAAAUACUGUACAUGAAAGCCACUGUUUCUGAUUGUUGCUUUUCAUCUUCUAAUUGGUUGGACUAGAAUGAAUUACCAUGCAGGUGAUGUAAGACCUAUGGACUUCUAGAAAAGGGAAGAGAAAUUGGAGUGUACAGUAUGUUGUUUGGAGGAUUAAGAUGGGAAGUGGGUCACCUUGUAAAAAAUACAUUGCACACUGGUCUUUAGAACUGUACAAAAGACAGGAAAGAAUUUGAAAGUACUGUUAAGAUUUCGUUAACCUUUGUUUUUAUCCAUAGAAUGUCAUACAGAGUUUUAUAACCACUUCUGAGUUAUUAUGGAUGCUUACAGUUGGUGUCAUGACACAUUAUACAGUGUGUUACAAAGCAUUAUAGGCAUGUACUUCAUAGAAAGUGUUACCAAGAUUUCCAACUCUACUCUAAAAUGUACUCAAUAUGGGGCCCAAGUGAUUCGUGUUCAGAAUACUUCUUCCCCAAUUACUUUCACAAAAUUUGACGUGAUUAGGUAUUUCUGAGAAAACUACGAAAUUACCGGUGAUUGUAAGUUAGUCCCCAAGUCAUCGACAGAUCCAUGAUAAAUUCCCAUUGGUCAAUACACGUCUUCCAAUUUAACAUCUUUGUUUUAUUAAAGGUGUUAAAUCAUUUUUGUCAGCACCCCCAAAUGAACCCAAGAGAUAGUUCUAUUUAAUUAGGUGAUUUACAGGGAAUCAUUUGUUAGAUAAUUUUCAACAUGGAUCUAAUUUUAAACUUUACUGCAGAGGAGUCAAAUCAGAGUAAUAAAUAUGCGAAUAAAAUAAUUCCAUGUCUCUUGCCUAUUACUUAUGUCUUUAUAAAACUUGAGAAGUGUAUUAAGCUGGCAAUUAUGAUUUCAUUAAAAUCUAUAAAUGGAGGAUCAUUUGUACUGGAUAAAUGAUCAUACUCAUCUCUAUCCCGCAGUCUCAGGGCAAAUAUGUCUAAUAAGCGCACACACGCACACACACACACACACACACACACACACACACACACACACAGAGAGAGAGACAUACACAGACACACACACACACACAGAGACACGCACAGACACACACACACACUGUUUCCUCCAACGUUAUCGGCUUACUCCAUCAUAUUGAACCACAUCCGUCUUGCCGCCACGUACUUCUCGGAAUCUCCAUUGAACCUCUGAAGAGAAAGAAUAAAAACCUGGGGUGAGUCUGAAUACCAUAGAGAUGCUAUGCUGAAUACACACAAACGCCCAUGCAAACACACGCACAUCCACAUUAGGCAGACAAUCGGUCGCUGUCAGAAACCUGAAUACAAUACUGUGUAUUAAUAUUUUACGAUGCUCUACCCUCAUUGUCCACAACAUACCAGAAAUACACAAGGGAGCAUGUUAACAUCUUCCCAGACCACUCAGUGUGUGUGUGUGUGUGUGUGUGUGUGAGAGAGAAAGAGAGAGAGAGAGAGAGAGAGAGAGGGAGAGACAGUUUAUCAAUGUAUGCUGUAAACUUUCAGCUGUGUGAGUGUGUGUGUGUCGUUGUUGUUCUGAGGUGCACUGUGUUUCUACCAAAGAGUGGGCGUCCUAUACUCUCUCAACCUCUUACCUAAGGC
rnacentral:lncRNA from 1 species